AUUGAACGCUGGCGGCAGGCUUAACACAUGCAAGUCGAGCGGGGGAGGUUGCUUCGGUAACUGACCUAGCGGCGGACGGGUGAGUAAUGCUUAGGAAUCUGCCUAUUAGUGGGGGACAACAUUCCGAAAGGAAUGCUAAUACCGCAUACGCCCUACGGGGGAAAGCAGGGGAUCUUCGGACCUUGCGCUAAUAGAUGAGCCUAAGUCGGAUUAGCUAGUUGGUGGGGUAAAGGCCUACCAAGGCGACGAUCUGUAGCGGGUCUGAGAGGAUGAUCCGCCACACUGGGACUGAGACACGGCCCAGACUCCUACGGGAGGCAGCAGUGGGGAAUAUUGGACAAUGGGCGGAAACCUGAUCCAGCCAUGCCGCGUGUGUGAAGAAGGCCUUUUGGUUGUAAAGCACUUUAAGCGAGGAGGAGGCUCUUAAGGUUAAUACCCUUGAUGAGUGGACGUUACUCGCAGAAUAAGCACCGGCUAACUCUGUGCCAGCAGCCGCCGUAAAAC
rnacentral:rRNA from 1 species